CCUGCAUUUAGAUUUACAGCCUGAAAGACACAACACAAAAGGAAAAAGGGAUGGGGAGGGUAAAGGGGGAAAACAAACUCCGGUACCAGUUCUUAAAAGUUACAGUUCUGAUAACAACUGGUAGCAUGGAAACAGUUCAGGAUAUCGGACAGGAUGGUUACUGCUCCGUGCCAGAUGUGGGAGAAAUAGAGCCGAAGACAGCUGGUCUCUUAAAAGAGCUGAUAGAGCAGCCUUGCUUCCAUUCUCUUCCUCUACUGCAGCCUGAUGGAAUGGCUGCUGCUAGGUUACAGUUGAGGCAGGCAAGGCAGUUGGUCUGUCAGCAGAGUUGAUGUUGAGAGUUAACCAUCACAGUCUGUUAUGUUAUCUCUCCCAUGUCAUCAAUGAUAUGAUGUGCAGAGUGUUUUCUAAUGGACACUUAGGCACUCACACUGCAAACUCAUUUAUCAUAUUCAUAAAGUCAGUCACAGUUCCAGAUUCUAUUUGAAAAAUUGAUCUCUGAAGCUUUGAUUAAUUUCCUUACUGGUAGCAUAUGCUGGCAGAGCGCUGAUGGGAGUUGUAGUCCAACGACAUCUGGAGGUUGGUGACGGCUGGUUUACAGGAUUAAACUGCAACUUGCUUAUUAAUAUAAUAUAAUUUUGCACAAUUCUGAUUUAAGAGAAUUGUGGAAGCUCUAACAACCAGGGGCGUAGCGUGGGUUGUCAGGACCCGGGGCAAGGCAAGUAAUUUUCACCCCCUAACCCGUGGAUUUGCGCCCCCUAACCCGUGGAUUUGCGCCCCCUAACCCUAACCCCCAGAUGUUGCGCCCGGUGCGGCUGGCCCCCCCUGCACCCCCCACGCUACGCCACUGCUAACAACAAAAUUAGGGCUACUUAGAACUUAGAGUGGUGGUGGGUGCAGAUCCCCUGUUUUCAGUAAAUUAAGUUAAUUUGUGUUUCCCAGUCUUCUCUGUCAUUCAAUUUCAGUUUAAAACAUCAUCCAGGGAUCAAAUGACUCCUUAAUAAAGUGCAGUGCAGAAGCCUCAAAAUCGUCUGACUUGGUAUAAGGCAGCUUCCUAUAUUCCUAUGAUCAAAGCACACAAAUUGUCUGGAGGAAAUAGACUAUAGACAGGCACAGAAAGACCCUCUGUUGAAGUCACCCCCUACUUAUCCAAGCAUGUGAUCUCAGCUGAGUCCUCCUGAGUUGGUUCUAGCCUCCAGUGUUCCAAAAUUAUCCAGUAUGAAAAGUUAAUAGUGAAAGCUCAGCUCCUUCCUAGUUGUACAUAAAGUUCCUUAGAACUUAGCAACUGCAGGUAGGGCUGGAAGGUAUCCUUGUCUGAAAUCCGAGGAAGCCACCACCAGUCUAUGUAGAGACAAUACUGACCUAGAUGGACAGAUGGACCCACUCAGUAUAUGGUAGCUUUCUAUGUUCCUCCGAAUUUUGGUUAGGGCAGGAACUGCUUCCUUCUUUGAAAUAAGUGACCUCACUACAUUUGUCCAUCAUCUACAUCCACCCAUGUAGAUUAAAAAGGUAAAGGUAAAGGACUCCUGACAGUUAAGUCCAGUCGCAAACGACUCUGGGGUUGUGGCACUCAUCUCGCUCUAUAGGCCAAGGGAGCCGGCAUUUGUCUGCAGACAGUUUUUCCGGGUCAUGUGGCCAGCAUGACUAAGCUGCUUCUGGCGAAACCAGAGCAGUGCAUGGAAACGCUGUUUACCUUCCCGCCAGAGCGGUACCUAUUUAUCUACUUGCACUUUGACAUGCUUUUGAACUGCUAGGAGGGCAGGAGCUGAGACCAAACAACAGGAGCUCACCCAGUCACAGGGAUUCGAACCGCUGACCUUCCGAUCGGCAAGCCCUAGGCUCUGUGGUUUAAUCCACAGCGCCACCCACGUCCCCUACCCCUGUAGAUUAGAUUACUGUAAUAGAGAGAUACUGAGGGAGUGCCUGUUGAUGUCACUAUGUUGGGUUUCUUUAUACUCUUGUGCUUUGUUCUCUGCUGUGAGUACAUAGGAUCAUAAGCAGGAUAUGCUGCAUUGAGACUUUCCUAUGAAUGACUACAUGUAGGAUUGCACCACUGCUUAAGCAAAACUAUAGUAUCAGCUUGCCUGUCACAAGUCCAACUAAUUUGAGCUGGAUGAGAUUAAAUGCAUUUUGAAUCCGGGUGUAAGGAAAGCACAGAGCUACAUAAAUAACUUUCCUCACCAAAAUCAUUUAUCAGUGACGAUGGAAAAAGUGAAUUAAAAGUUGGAACUGAAAGAUACAAUGCCCAAGAAAGAACAGCAUACAAUAUAUUAAAUUACACUAAUUCGUGUGUUUCGUUUUCCUGGUCAUAAAAUGUCAGUUCCCAGCAAAGGUUUUACAGUGUCGUGGUGUGGAAUUUCAGCAGCAUGAACACCUGCUUCACAAGCUGGAGAGGAAUGUUUGAGAAUGGCUUUUUCUGCAGUGAUGAUUCAAGUGGCCUGAGCAACACAUGGCAAUAGAGGUGGUGGGUGCAACUCACCAGGGACUUCUCCAGCACAAGCCUAAUUGAAAUGAACUGGAAUGACACAACUGAUGCUCUUGCCAAUUUCCAUUGCAAUGAAAAAUCUUCAGUAAAUAAUAUCUCCAGCAGUAGUAGCAACAACAGGGAUGGUCCAUAAAACAUUGUUUCUAAUAAAAUGAAAAUCCUAUUAAUACAAACAGUAGAUCAUAAAAACAGAAAUCGUGAUCUGCCAGGCUGGAUUUGUAUUUGCUUCAUAAUCCUUUUCCCAAUCCAGCAGUCUUUUUUACAAUCUAGGAUCCAUCCUUUACCCAAACCUGGAAUAUGGGACUCACUUUUAAUUCUUUAACUGUGUUUCAUCUGCUCUUCUUUUUCUGCUGCUAUUAAUUCUUCAUCUCCCCUCCUUUCCCUCUGCCUCUUCUUCCCCAUCCCCUUGCCUCUCUCCCCUUCUCUUAAAAUAGUUUUAAUUUGCCACUGAAAGACUUAGCAACAAAGGUAACUCAUGUGUACCUCUCCUGGGAGAGCGUUCUAGAGCCCUGGAUAGCUAAUUUCAGAAGACAAAAUAUUGAGCUAGUUGCUGUAGGAUCCAUUUCUCUUUUCUGACCCCUUCCUUUUUAUAGAAAGGAGCAAUAUACCUUAUGGAUCCAGGAGGAACUGUGCCUUCAGUGCCAAUGUGGUCUUCUGUGGAAACCAAGAGGAUAGGAAGAUAGGAAGCAGCCUUCUGUUGAGUCAGGCUAUUGGGUCCAUUGAGAUCAGUAUUGUCCGCACUGAGUGAUAGCAGCUCUGCAGGGUUUUGGGUCUCUCCCAGUCCUACCUGGAGAUGCCACUGAUUGAAUCUGGGACCUUUUGCAGGCAAAGCAGAUAAUCUGCCACUGGAAAAAGGCCCAAGAACGAGGUUUCAUCUGGUAUUCUGAAGAACUGAAGCAAACUCAAACUUUACAUAAAUUGUAACAUAUAUAAGCAGCCUUCAGGGCUUCUAGCUCUGGUGAGAUACGGAUGGAUGGUGUGGUUUUAUAAUGUACCCUGAGAGAUUUUCUGUGCGUAUAAAUUAAACGAGUUGUAUGUACUUAUGGCUGAGGAAAUGAAAAUGGGCAGGCUUAAAAAAAUAAAUAGAUACAAAUGUAAUCAAGCCGAGAACGAACGAACUUUUUCAUUUCCAGCUUACCCAAGGGACUGACAUAAUUGCCUAAUUGCUGUGAUUUGGACCUUAGAGACAAGAUGCAGGAAGUGCCUUUGAAAUGUCUGUUUGACAUACAUGCUUUUAAUUGGAGAUGCACAAAUGAUUUCAUAGUUCCAGUGCUGUUUAUAUUUCAUUUUUCAUUUUUUUAAAAAGCUGCUCAAAGGCCAGUCGUCAUGUGACUGUAUGCCAGUUAUAUGAAAUUAGGUGGUAAUAAAGCUUGCAAGAGCAGGAUGUGUAUGUAACAUAGGGAAAGGGACUCUUUGGCCUUCCAAAUGUUGCUGGAGCAUUGCCUUUGACCAUUGGUCAUGCUGCCAUGCCAAUAGGAGGAGGCAGACACCAACAAUAUCUGUAGGGCCACAGGUUCCCCACCUCUCAUUUAAUGCCUGUGAAUGACCCCAGCCAGAAUGCUCUGUAUGUCCUACCCUUAUGCAUGGGACAAGAAUCCUCCCUCUGCACAAAGAAAUUUACAGAACAGUUCUAUAGUGUCUACUCAGGUCCUAUUAAGGUCAUCAGGGUUUACUCCCAGGUAUACGAGUAAGGAUUGCGGCCAUAAGCCUUGUUGAUUCACUCACCAAUAUAGGGAUAUCCAACAUAUAGAAAACAGGGGUUCAGUAUUCUGCAUUUGCAUAUUCAGGGCCAUCUUUACUCGGGGAUGCAAGGGGUGCAGUGCAUCCGAGUGCCGAAUUCUGGGGGGCGCCAAAUUUACUGGCGGCAGUAAAAAGCAAUGGACCCCUCCGUCACUCUGUUACUCUGUAGCAUCAAAUAUUCCCGAAGAAUCAGGAAACAAAAGCAGCUAUUUCUGCUGCAUUGUCAGCAACUUCGGCUUCUUUCCUCCCAAAAAAGCUCAACAACUUUGAGUCUUCCCCCUAAAAUUUUUAUGGGCGUGGCUAAACUAAAUUUGGGGGUGCUGGGUGGAUUUUUGCACCCUGGUGGUGCAUAUGCUAAAGACAGCCCUGUGCAUAUUCAAACACUCCCCCCCCAAAAAAAAACACACAAGAGAAGUCUGAUAACAGGACCUUGCUUGUCUCUUUCUUGAAGCCUGGGAUAUGAGUUCUGCCUGACAAAGCGCAGAUGGGUAGCAUGUGGGGCUGUGGGAGUGACACCUUCACUUCCCAAAGUUGAAGCAGCCUAGGAUUGUGAGAAGAGAGAUUUGCGAUGGCAGCCAGGAUCAUCAAUCUGCCACACACACACACACACACACACACACACACACACACUGAAUGCCCCCUAUCCACACUUUAAGAGGGUUCCUAGGGUUGGAAACGUAUCUACACUUGUAGAAAGUAUGCUCUAUUUACUUGUACAGACAUAACAAUACUGAAAAAUUAAACAGCCCUUAAAACAGUGGAAGUAUUUUGUUUAGUUUUUUUAAACAGUUGCAGACACAACUCAUACCUUUAUAAAUGUGUCUAAACUCUGAAAUACUAAAUUUAUGUGUUUGGAAGUUAAUCCAUUCAUUCCAAAAAAUACACAAUAUCAUCACAUAAAGUCCCUUUUGUGAGUGCACCUGUGAAGUCUCAAGGCUGAGAUUUCAGAAAGCAAAUCUUUUAAAAUUAUGUUCUUACUCACUAUGGUACAUUUUCUUCAUUUAAUGUGGAUUGUUAUAGUAUACAAGGCUGAGAUUUCAGUAUACAGAGCAAGAUUCUUCCAUGUACAGUUUGCAAACCCUAACUGAGAAAAUAGCAUUGCUGUGUCUGUGUAGAAGGCACACAGAAUAACCAUUGUGUAUUUAGCAGUACUUACACCCUUGAAUGUCAGGACCAGGGAAUAAAUGCUAAAGAAGGUGGUUUAUCCCUUUCCUCAAUUGAAAAGCUGCCACAUUUUCUAUAAACGUUAUUUGGACACCUACCAGAGUCAAAUCAAAGACACUUUGGUUUAAUGUCUUAUGUAAAGAUUUAAUAGUACUUUGGAACAAAAGCGCUUCUUUAAACUAAACAAACUUUAUUGCAUUAAUCUUAAGCACUAUUAAUUCAUACAUUUAAUGCCUGUAAAUUGGCAGACUGUAAAAACAAAAUGUGUAUUUAACUGCAAAAUAGCCUUGCAUAAAUCUAAUUCACCAAACGUGAUGAAAGGGAAAACAUAAUGGAUGUGAAAUGCUACCCAAGUAAAGCUUAAGGCAGCGGGUGGGGGUGGGGGGUGGGGAGUUGGAAUACAAAAGCUUCUAAUUCAGGCUUUUCAACACAUGUCAUUCUUUGGGCUGCAAUUAAACUUUUCAACUCUGAAAGCAAACAUUUAAAAUAUUCCUUAGGCUUACUCUGACACAUGUGAAAAUGUUCCAUUGGCAUGAAUAUGUUGACCCCCGACGUUAUUAGGCUUAGGGAAGUAUUUCAUCCCUAGGGAUUUUUUAUUUUUAAAACUGUUCAUUCAUUGCUAUAAUAAUCUGGUCAUAUCUUGGAGAAGCCAGACUGAGAUUCUGAAGUCACAUGUAGCUUUGUGAUAGUUUUGACAUGCUCCUCCAGCUUGUCAACAUCCUUCUUAAAUUGCGGUGCCCAGAAUUGGACACAGUAUUCCAAGUGUGGUCCGACCAAGGCAGACUAGAGUGGUACUAUUACUUGCCUUGAUCUGGACACUAUACUUCUGUUGCUGUUGUGAGUGCACAAUUAGCAGGAGCAUGAACUUAGCCUAAAUGACCCAUUGUUAGGGGCUAACACUGCCUGCCAGUGCGCUUGCUUCUGCUUCCUCCAUAAUAUUUCCUCAACCUGCACAUUUGCAAAUGACUUAUUGCAGACACUUUACAUCUACAGAGAAGUCUCAUUCUUAGGAAUUUGGCCUUGCAAAGACUGCCAUAAACUUCCCACUUCUCAGGAGACAAUGAUCAUGAGAGAAUAUCAUGAGAGCAUGUGUUUACAGUUCUAAUGAAAAUGUGGAGUUUAAGGCACAUCCUUAGCAGAAGCAGGUGACCGACUUAUUUUAUUGGGAGUAGAGUAUACUGCACUUCUUCCUAGUGACAUGUUGGGUCUACAGAAAAGAACCAAUAAAAGAGCAGUUCCAUCAAAGCAAAAAGCCUUCUGUUUACGCAACAAAUGAAGCUGUCACUAUGUUCAUAAUUUAGCAGGGCUAUUUAGAAGAUGCCAAAUCCUUGUGAGAUCCCCAAGUGAAGUCAACCACAGAAAAAUGAGAGAGACUUAACAAAAUGUAACUGAAGUCAGUUGUUGGCUAAGGAGGAGCAAUACAAACACUCUAAAAAUAUCCCAACUUUUAUUUCUGCCUCUGAUUUUAAACAUGAGCUUGAUUUUAAACAUGAGCUCGAUGGUUAUUUUUGUGUUAGUGACAAGAAAAUGUUAGCGUUAGAAGUUUUUCUGACAACAGCUGGGAAACAGCAGAUGUCUGCCUAUAAAUUAUCGGCUAUCUGGUAGGCCAUACAUAUUUGUCGGAUGAAAAAAUACAGGUGCCUCCCUUCUGUAGAAGCCUGGAGAGAAGAACAGCUGCACCACAAGCAGUGAAAUACAACCCAUACCCUCAGUCGAUAUACCAUUAUUGUUCUGAGAACUCUAUCUUAGCUCUUACAAUGAAAUCUUGGCCUCCGGUGUGGAAAGCACUGCAGACGUAAAACAGCAAAAGUAGUCACAGAAAAGUUUAUCCAAAUCAAGCCUUUCCUGGUAUCCCUUUCUGCUUAAAAACAACAACCCCCAAACAACCAGCAUUUUAUGGGCUGAUGCCAUAGUUUUUCUUUGCAAUCCUUAUUUGGGCAACCUUGUUUAUGAAGUUCUAGAAUGUGAUUUAUUCAUUUUCAGUAGCUUCUUGUGCUUCUGGCAGAUCAAUCAAAUCAACAUAAGUUCAUUGUUUUGGCCAAAGGCCAUGACAAACCCACACAACAGUGCUAAUAAACAAUACAAAUCAUACAUCCAUAAUAUGAACCACCAUCCAUGAUGUAAGAGGCAGGUUACCAGAGGCACCAACAAGCUCAAAUCCAUCUUGGUUUCAAAUUAAACCUCCGAAUCAUCACAACAAUUUAUUGUGAUUUCUCUAAUUCCUUCUGUUUUCCUUUCUUUCAGCCAGUUCAUAGAGGGCCACUCAGUGUUACAAAACUAUUAUUGUCACUCAAAAGAAACUGAAACAUUUUUGCCAGGUUGUAUCUGCUUGCGUGUGUGAACAAAGGUUUCAGAAAGUAAUCUCUUGGGUCUCAGAUCUUCCACCUGAGGUUGACCACAAAUACAAAGCCUAUCUGCGUACUGGACCUUGUAGCAGCCAUCCAAGACUGCAGUGAGCAUCACUUGGAAAUGCAGGUCAGUAAAGGCAUUUCUUUAGGAAACUGGUGAGAGUAGAGUCAGAUAACUAGUGCUAAGAUGCUCUGUUCUCAAGAGUGGAUUCCAAGGGGAAAUUUGGGUGAUCAGAAUUAGUCGCAGAUCCCUUCUGGAUUCUAUCCAGGAGAGCCAAUUCCUUAGCUGAUACUUAUUCAAGAUCAAAGCACAGCUCAGUUCUGGAAAGUAAUAAUAGUCUGAACCAUCUUGACAAGCUGUUUUCCAGAGUUGGUUAUCACUUAAUUCCAUAUAGCACAGCACAGUUAAAAUACUUUAACUGAGCGCAGUUUGCUCUUGCCUUAAUGACUGGCCACCUAAAUUCUGUACAAAGAAGACCUGCUCAUAUUCCUGAUGGUAGAGAGUAUAGCUCCCCCCCCCCAAAAAAAAUGAAUGUUUUGCAGUGUUUCCAAAACUAUUCAAAUCAGAGCCCCAGAUUUCAAGGCCAUAAAGCAUUUAGGUAAGCUCCUCACUACCAAAUAUCUUUACAGUGGAUUGAAUCAGCUGCUCUCCCUUACUGUGAUAGAACUUCAUCAAUGCCCCAGUGCUUUUCUGUGCUUUGACUUUCAUUGCCUCCAUAUGACACUUCCAAGAGAGGGUGGGUGGGUGGUUGGUUGGUUGGUUGGUUUUUGGUAGUUUACAUUGUGCAGUUGAUGCAGAAGACAACUGCAGAACAUGGCAUUCUUCCCAGUGGUGAAAAACAACACUGAAACCAGGUCUAAAUGGAAAGACUUUUAAAGCCAGAAAUUGGCAACGCAGCAUCUAACAAGUUGGAUUGGGUGUGGUGUUAGGAGGAGAGGGGCAGGGUAUCUGAGGGAUAGGGCUAUCUGAGUUCUGAAAUCUCUUUUGUUUACCUCCCACUGAAUUUUAAGAGAGUGCUCUGACCCAAAAUUGGGGUAUGGGGGAGUGGUAGAGGGAGUCCACAGCCACUGCUUAUCCACAGAAUGUAUCCUUAAUCUUUAUACACACAUAGCUGUCUAUAUUUGGCUAACAUCCAAUUACAGAAUGAUUAUUAAACAAGAAAAUCAACAAUAACAUUUUAAAACCCACCUCAUAAAAACAUAUUUUGAUUAGAAACCAGAUGGGUUAAUUUGGAAAAAAAGAGAACAAAGUAAAUGCCAAUAAUAAAAUAAUGGUUAUUAAAAUCAUGGGUUUUGUGAAUAAGUUAUGCCUGCGUUAAUGAAGGAUGGCAAAAAAUAAUGCACAUUGGGGAAGUUGGCAAAGUUAGUUUCUUUUAACUUUGCAAGUGCUAUGUAUAUAUUGUUAUGAAUCUGCUAACUUUCUGAGGAUUGGUGUUUGUUGUUUGGUGAUCUUUUGUAUGAGUUGUGAGUGUCUCUGUGUGUGUUCUUAAGGAAACAACAAUAUGGGUAUGGUCUCAUCAAAAGUAAGCAUGUUUCAGGGUCAUGGACUUCAGUGAGAGAAAGUUUAACACAUGCUUUUCUCUCACACUGAAAUCGAGGGAAGUAAAUGUGCCUAUUCUUAGUUGGAUGUUGCCAGAUAUCUUUAAAAUUAUAAAACUCAGUGGCACCUGAAAGCUUUCAGGUACAGAUGGACCUUUCUUGGUAAAAUAUACCUUUUUAAAAAGUAUUUUUUUUGCCAUGGUGCAAUCCUGCAAACAUCCAUUGCUCUGAACCCCUGGCCUACCUGGCAGCAAGUCAGUAGGUCAAGUCCUUAGUCCAGGGUCAAUUCACAUGUCCACAGUCCCACAGAGAUCUUGCAGCAUCCAAACUGAGGUCCAUCAACGUGGGCAGUUGAGCAGACACAGCACCUCAGCUCUGCAGCCCUUCUUACUUUGUAAACUGAUUGCAGCAUCUGGGCUUGACGAGGCAUGUGACCCUCACCUGUUCUGAGUCUACUCUGAGGAAUCACACACCUCCUCCCAGAGCUAGUAUGUCCUACUUGACCAGCUAGGGAGCUGGGCUGUAAGCCCUGCUUGUCUCAAUCUCCUGGAUUGCCCCACCCACUUCUCCCUACGUCUUGGAACCCGCUUUGUUUGUGGAGACAGGGGCCCCUCUGGCUCUGGUGAUGGGUCCUGCUGCUCUGGUUCCUGUGCACUGGCGCCCAUCCCCUCAUCAUCAUCUAUCACCCCAUGAAUACUUCUUACACUAACCUUCUUACACCAACCUCCUUCCCCAUCUCCAGUUUGCCCCAGUGUGUCCCAGUCCUGGCUACAUCCCUCACCAGGAUCCUCUUCCUCCUUGCCAUUGUUCUGCCAGUUCAUGACACCCAUGUUGAUAGAUGGUGUGGCAUUCUGGGAUUGUGUCGAGAGGUCUCUCCAGUGGCCUUUGCCAUUGGAGUGACAUACUGCUGGUGGUAAGAAUCGGUGAGCUCUGAAAUGGACCAUUUGGGAGCAGAGUGGCAGAAGCUUUGGAUCCACUGGAUCCAAAGCCCCAAGGGUCCUCUGAGGGGCUUUGUGCUUGUGCCUGUCAGCCAUGCCAACCAGGAUUUGGAAUAGUGAAAACUAAUACUCCCACCACCACACACAUGUUUGUGUGCUUCUGACAUGGCUGGUGGUGAGAGCUAAAAAAACUAUGGCUGUGGUGGUAGAGCCACUUUUUCUCCCCAGCCCCUCCUUAGAAUUUCACUGUAAUUUUACUACCCCUUCAGACAAUUUUUGGGGGGUGGAGGCAGGGAAGAAUGAUAAUAUCCAUAUCCUACAAUUAAAGACCACGGCUUCCCUCAAAGAAUUCAGGGUACAAACUACUGGUACUUGUCAAGGGAGCUGGGAACUGUAGAUCUGUGAGGGGUAAACUACAGUUCAUUGAGGGAAGCAAUAUACUUCAACUGUAAGAUGGGGAUGUGGCCUUGUGGCACAUUUUGAAGCAUUUCCAUUUUAACUGGAGCAAGGAAGAUUACAAUUAUUUUAUUGUGGUUGCCAAAGAUACAUUUUAAGUACAGAGAAGGAAGUGCAAAAGUUUUCAGUUUAGACCGAGUGUCAAAAGUUGUAAAGAGAAUUGCAAGCUGUCUUUUACAUGAAGUUGGCACUAUGGUUAUUUCACACGUUACUAGUAAUUCCGCAUUUUUCUUGAACUCUACAUUUCAUUGUAAAUCUAGUGAUACGCUCUGCCUUAAUUUUUUAGGCUCGUUAGGGCUUUAAGGUCAGAACAGCAACAAUGCAAAACUGAUUAAUAGCAAAUGAUCAGAUUAAUACCACAAUAAGACUUCAUCUAAACUCACUGACAAUAUGAUAGGCAUAAUGGGGCCCAUUAAUACCUCCUGGCAGUCCUUAAAAGAUGAGACAAUGCAGCUGGCAGCUUGAAAUGGGAGCAGCUGGGAGAGGACAACUUGGUUUUCUACAUAUUUAGGCAUUUGGCAUUUGGUAGCUAAAGGGAACACUGUUCAGCAAUAAUAAGUAACACAUCAACACUAACAAUUUGCAAUGAUAUCUUUUGUUAUGGCCUGGUUAAUCCUCAAACUCAACAUAGCUCUUUGGGGCCAUCUGUUGUGUAACUUGCUUCUUAUUUCUUAAAGUAUUUAUUUAUUUAUGCCUUCUCAAUUUCAUCAACAUACUGAUGCAACAUAUCCAAAGAUGGGCUCUAAGAGAAUUCCUUUUAAGAUAUGGGCAAGGUGCCCAUGUCUCUAAAGAUUGGUGCAAUUUGGAUCUUAGACAUUGCAUGGGAAUAGCUACCAAUGUCCAUUCUCCAACAAAGGUGGCUGGUAUCCAUCUGACUUGACAGACAAUGGAGUGCGCCUCCGGGGGUGAAGUCAAAGCGCUGGAGAAUCACAUCUGGCUCCCACAUUGUUUUUGCUGCAUUGGUGUAGGCAGUGUGUAUGGUAGUCCUGGGCUUCCCAGAUGAAAAAAACCCCACUCUCGGCCUCACUGAUGUGAUCCAAAGGAAAGCAGAGCAAUACAUUUGGCACCAGCUUGUCUGCGGGAGUUGCCAGAAGGAGGCGUACAAGGCCCAACCAUCUUAGGGAGUCCAUUCUGGAUUUGUGUAGGGUUACUCCUUAACCUUUUCCUCUCCCAAAAAAUGUCCCACAAGGCAGCAGGUAUGGAUUUUUCCUUGUAGUUUACUCUCAAUGCCUUUUUCAUGAAUGAGUAUAGCUUCAAAGCAAAAACUCUGGAAGGUGGGCCCAAGACUUUUGUUUGGAGGCAGAUACGGUAUGUCUCUGCCGUUCCAUGUGGCAAUUGUGUUCAUCUUGAGACAUGGAUGUAUUCAUCUAUGUUCUAAAAAAGAAGACUAUGCCCAAGGAUACAAUUCAUUUAUCAAUCCCAGCAGAAAAACUACCAGAAAUCAUAUGUGCCUGGAUGUAUACGGUACUCUGUUUAUAUAUGCUGGAUUGAUGUGGGCAUAUGUCCAGCUGAAUGCCCUUUCCCUUGGACAUUUAAAGGUGAAAGUCUGAGCAAAUGUCACCCUUUCCCAUUGAGGGACUGUGGUAGUUCUGCUCGUGAAAUGUGAUGCUUCUGUCAUGCUUAAUGCCUAACAAAGCUUUCAGUCCAGCUUUCAGUCCAGUGAAACUUAAUUGCAAAAUGAAGGCACAUGCACACUAAUUGUUUUUUCCUGAGAUGUCCAAGGAACAGCUGUUCCAGCCAGCUCCUCUUCCCAAUUACUGGUCCAGUCCUGUUAUGUUUGGAUUUUUGGGGUGUGUGUUUUUCCCCUCAAGGGAAGUAUCUUUUUAAUGAAGUACUCCUCUCCUUGUUGCAAUCCAUCUGGAUAGAAAUCCUAGGGCAACAACGAAAUUAAUACUGAGCGAAAUACAAUGCUGUAACUUGUAUGGAAGGGUCUUAUCCAAAGGAUUGUUGUGAAUAAUCACAGUACCAAGUCACCAAAUGUCCGUACGAUAAACCAUGUUUAUUUUGAUUCUUGACAAAUAACAAUUACAGUCUAUGUCAAGUGGCCGUCUAUGGUGGCUUUAGUGUCCAACGGUACAUAGAGCAAUCUUCUGUCUGAUGGGUUGACAGAGGAGCAGAGUGCCCUGUCUGUCUCUCAUUUUGAGAUAAAUAACUUUAGGAAGGGACAACGGAAGCCUUAAUGUUGCCCAUCCACCACCAGCCCCUGGACAGCAGACUGAGCAGGCACACAGGACACCUGGUCAGUGGCCACAGACUUCCCCACAAUGCCAAGAUGUUAAAAUUUAAAUUCGGCACCAAAUGCAAGCUCACUACGGUCACCUGCACUUGAGCACUUCCAAUGUGAGCUCCUGAGUGGAACCCAUCUCUGCCAAAAGCCAGGCUAAAUGCAGUGCCCCAGUUGCAUCGUGGAUUUUCCUUUGCAGAUGUGCUUCAAUCCAAGCCAUGCACAGUUUGGAUGUAAGCGGCUCCUGCAAAGGUCCGUUUUUUCUCCGCAAGUGCAGCUUGAAGCCAAACCACACCUGCAAAGGAAGAGAGCAAAGAAACAGGAGCACUGACCUGCCUCUUUCCUUGACAUACUGGCAGGCAGGAGUGGGGGAUCCCGUUUGCAAUCCCUGAUUUAAACAAUAAUGAUGACUUCUAAAUGUGCAUACGUGUAUUCAAACCUGUGUCCUUUUCUUUUUGGCGAUGCCUUUCCUUUGUUAGGAGCCCAUCCUAUGGCAUUCUAGAGUCCUUCCCUUCAUGGACAGAAUCUGUGAUGGAAGUUGAAGACAUCUCUUUCUUUCAAGCACAUCUGCUUCCGAAAAAGUGCUUCCAUCCUGCCACUUUAUACAGCAGUGAUUUGGGGGGGGGAGUGGGGUGCUAAAAGGAAUUCUGGUUGCAAUUUCCAUGGGUUAUGCCUGUGCUGCAUUUUGCAAUAAUUACACUAUGAACACUAAUCGUAAUAGGUAAAGAACAGAUCUGUCUACUGAUCAUGCAUCUAAUUAUAUUUAAUAGUGACUGAAUAUUUAUCCCCCCCAAAAAAGAGAGAGAGAGAGGAGGAUUAUAUGCCUAUUAGCCUUUCACACAGUAGGUUUGAAAGCCUUGGCCAGAUUAUAGCAUGCAGUUUUAACAGAAGUCAUUGUAGAUACUGAAUUCAAUCAAGAAGGAUACCUAACCUAUAAAAUAUGUUACUGUGUUCCAGUAAUAGUCCAGUUAAUGACAAGUAAUUCAAAACCUGUUAGAAAUAGAUUCACAUUAGGCAGCUUUCAUUAGACAGGAGUAUCAAUCAUUAUGGUUUUAGGGUGUGUGUUUUAAGCGUUAUGGAGACACAUUAUCUUUUAUAUUGAGACCGAUUAGAUUGGGAAACCGCCAGGUCACCUACCACAUGCCUUGCCAUCAGCUGUGAGAAUUUCCAGAGCUGUUACAGCUUGAUUACAUUCAGCCCACACCAGCACAAGGACUGGAGACGAACUUCUUUUGUGCCAGGAGACCCUUAAAUCAGCCAGCACACACAGUUUCCUGUUAACGUGCUGCAUUCACCCUACUGGGCAGACACUAACCAUAUUCCCACCAUGCCAUUAGGCACACCAUCUGCUCUCUGGGGCAGGAAACUGAGUCACCCAGAUAACGAUAGCUAUAUCUCAAUUUUCUAUUAGGGAACUGCCACAUUAAUUCACUAUUUGUUCAUGUAGAACACAUAAUUUCCGUAUAUAUUUUUUGAAAAGGCCAAUAUAGUUAGCCUUCCUAUCUCUAGCUCUAUGCAGUCAUAUGUCACGGAGGAUGAUGCAAGCAGAGAGUUGAUCACAGCCAUGGGCCCCUGCGUUUUAUGGGUAGUGCACUUCGAAAGGCUAAGUAAGGUGUUCUCAUCACCAUCCUGUACUUAUCCCUCCACUUUCAAGCAGGUGCCAGAAUGUGGGAGGAAGCAAGGGUCUCUAAUGCAACAGAUGGUUGGCAACCAAGGUGGCCAUGAAAGCUACACCCCUCUUCAUAUUAAUUACUCAACGCUUGGCAAAUCAGCGUACUAGCACAGGCAAUUAUUUGGUCCUGUCUCAUAGCAGCACCAUUUUGGCCAGAGACUCACAUUAGUCUGGUCCUGGAGAAACCCUUAAGGUUCUUAGAUGUCAAUCUAAGCUAAAUUGCAUCCUGUUGAUACCGAACUUGAUGGAAGGACAAUGCAGCUGAACUUUACAUGUGCUAUCCUCUUAGUCAGUGUUGGGCACCACUGUGGCAAGACUUCCUGCCUCUCAGUGGUCUUGCACUGAGCUGCACUGCAUUAGUCAUGGCGUUCACUGUGUUAAUAUCUGUGGGAGGCAAUCGCAGCCGUGACAGCUCUGUUUGCUUCUGCAGCUGAUGAGGUGCACUCAGUUCAGGUGUGAUCAACAAAGCGACAGUUUGUAGUGAGCUGGUGUCUAGUACAGUUUGGGCUUUUCUACCAUUUUUGACGGCAAACCAGGGUCAAAAAAAGGCCACCAGGUACCCUAGAUCUUCCAAACGCUGGUGUUUUCUUUCUCCCUCCAUCAGCUCCCCCAGAAGAAGCAGGAUUCCAAAUUCAGUUGUCUAGUUGAAUCACAUCUUACACUAAUCUGUGUUUUGAGCAGAGGAAAGAGAAACAAAAUAAUAUUAGAAAACAAAAACAUUUCAGAUCCAAUCUGAUCACGGCAAGCAAAGCCAGGAAAACAAGUGUACGUGGUGAGUGAAGAGUACUCUUGCCUGAGGCACAGUGUUUGCAAGCAGCUGAAUAUGGAAGGAUGGCUUGUAUGUCAACAGAAAGAAAAACAAAGUUGGCGUGCAUGAAAACCGCAGGAUAGAGGCAUUGUAUCUUUUUUUAGUUGAAAAGGUUGUAUUGUGGGCACUGCUUUAUUAGAAUUUUAGCAAUAUAGUCAACUAUGAGAACCUAAUAAUAAAAAGUCAAAUGCGAGAAUUAUAUUUGUAUCUCCUCCCCUCCCCUCCCCUGAACUGUGUCCUCCCCACCCAACUAGUCACAUUUCACACACAAGCUAUGGUUUUGUAAUAUCUAGGUUGCCCUGCUGUCGGUUCCAGAACUACAUUCUUCAAACCCUUAAUGUUUUGUGAUUAGCUAGAAAUAUGCAAUUAGGAUUUUUGGUAAAGCAUUAGCAAUCAGCCAGAAGUGUAGUUGACUCACUGGUAAGCUGUGUAGGAACAAACUCUACAGCAGGGGUGGCUAACACAUAGCUUGUGGGUUGUAUCCAGUCGCCAAUAGUUUUUCUUUUUAGGUCUCCCUAAGUUCUCCCCCCACAUUGUCAUCUUAUAAAAAAGUACGGAUUUGAUGUCUGUAUUUUUUUAGUGUUCUAAAGAAGCAUGGACUGUUCCCUAUGGGUCUCCUGAUGUGAAGCCAUUAUGGCCUUCGAAGCCCCACUUAUUUUCCAUUAAAAAGAAAUAAAUAUUUUAAAACAUUUUUACUGAAUGUGCCCACAGGUCCCCCGUUGUGAUACCAAAAUGCCCCCCAAUUUCUUCUUAAUUUUUUUAAUAGGUCCACUGCCUAGCCCAAAACUAAAUUACUUUGAAAAGCAGCAAUUUUAACAUACAGUAUAUUGUGAUGAUAUUAUUAAAAGUUGUAUCAGUUAACCAUAUCGC